rnacentral:sRNA from 12 species
GCUACCCAGAUUAUAGACCGUCGCAGUAGCCAAUAGGCUAGGUGGCAUGACAAAGUUGUACUUCAAAGUACAUACGUGGUAAAGCUGCACUGCACCUGGCACGUUGAAUGUCAUG